rnacentral:rRNA from 1 species
GUAGGGAAUAUUGCUUAAUGGGCGAAAGCGCGAAGCAGCAACGCCGCGUGUAUGAUGAAGGCCUUCGGGUCGUAAAAUACUUUUUAGAGGGAUGAGGAAGGACAGUACCUCUAGAAUAAGCCUCGGCUAACUACGUGCCAGCAGCCGCGGUAACACGUAGGAGGCGAGCGUUAUCCGGAUUCACUGGGCGUAAAGCGUGCGCAGGCGGUCUGGUAAGUUGGAUGUGAAAGCUCCUGGCUUAACUGGGAGAGGUCGUUCAAUACUACCGGACUUGAGAGUGGUAGAGGAAGGUGGAAUUCCGCGUGUAGUGGUGAAAUGCGUAGAUAUGCGGAGGAACACCAGUGGCGAAAGCGGCCUUCUGGCCCACUUCUGACGCUUAGGCACGAAAGCUAGGGUAGCAAACGGGAUUAGAAACCCCAGUAGUCC